AUGGAACCUAAUCGUGCCCCUGGCCCCGAUAGUAUCCCGGCCAAGUUUUAUCAACAUUGUUGGGAGGUGGUUAAUGCAGACCUGUAUCGUUUAUUUGAAUGGUUUUAUGAAGGUAAAAUGGAUGUAUAGAGGUUGAAUUAUGGCAUAAUUACCCUGUUGCCCAAAUCCUCUGAAGCCAAGAGAAUUCAGCAAUAUAGACCCAUUUGUUUGCUGCGAUGUCCCUAUAAAAUGAUCACUAAGGUGAUGGAUAGGAGGGUUAGUGUCUAUGCUCCUAAGUUUUUUUUGACUGUGAACUGUAGGGAAACUCCCCACAACAUUGCAAUUUUAUUCCAUAAAAAUAAAGUAUAUACAAGUGGUUACCAACAGUAA
rnacentral:rRNA from 1 species